CCCUAAUUUUAUUCUCUUACUACAUUGAACCACAUGUUGUAUUUAAUCUAACAAGGGUUGCCUUUCACCGACAAACGUACAAAGACUCCUAGAUCUCAUGGAAAGAAGUUUCAUGUUUCAGUGGAAGAAGAAGUCACUAAAUUAUUGAAAAAUGGAGUUUGCGGUAGUAAAAGCUUUGAAACCGAGUUUAAGAAGGGAGUUUGUUUAUCAACAAAUGCUCGACGAGGAACUUUUAAGCUUUAACUCGAAUACGGUGAUUGCCGGUGAAGAUUUCUCCAUUGACGAACUCCUUGACUUCUCCAACAGCGAUGAACAACACCACGAGGAAGAUGAAGAAGAAAAAUAUGGUUUAUUUUCACAACUAAGUUGCUAGUUCCGGAUGAUGACGUGGCAAACCUUGAAUGAGUUUCUAACACAAUGUUUCUACAUAAAUUUUGAAUUGGAGUCAUGAUUUUUCAAGAAGAUUUGUGUUGUUGAUUAAUUUUGUUACCAAUAGUGUUUGAUUCUUCUUAUUUGGUGCAUCACGUGAGUUAUAUAUUAUAUAGACGAAAACUGCAUAUAAUAAUAGAUCGUCGUUUCUUGAACUGCUCAAAUUUGUUUAGUUUAAUCAGAGGUUCUUCAAUUGCUCAAAUUUGUUUUGUUUAGUGGCAGGGAUGGAAGACUUAAGGUGAUCGGCGGUGAUAAGCUUCUAUACAAAUGUGAAUUAUCAAAAUGUUUAUAUUAUGUGAAUUAUCAAAAUCAAAAUGUUAGCUAGCUAAGCUUUUAUAUGAAUGUGAUGUUGAUGUUUGGAUUCUUUGCCAUUUGCCACUCCUACAAAAUCAAGGGCAUUUAGUUGGGAUCUUAAAUGAUAAUGAUAUCCAAGUAUCUUUACUUUUCUUAAAUUUUAUUUUCUGGCUUUUGUGAAUCUCAUUUUCUAAUAUUUUUAGUUUUAUUUUAAUUAUUGAAAAGAGAUGAGAUCAUUGAAGAGCAGAGGAAGAAUGUUUAGUACUAAACACGAUACUUUAGUGCAUGUAAGAGCUAUUGACACCCAAUUGAGACCAUUACUAAAAAAAUGACUGCUGAAAUAACCAAAUUUAUUUGCAAAGAUCAAGGAACGAAGUUCAUCCAGAAUUAAUGAAGAUUGACAUAUGCGUUUUUUAGGAAGUAAUAAAUUUAGAUUUGAG